rnacentral:rRNA from 1 species
GAUGAACGCUGGCGGCGUGCCUAAUACAUGCAAGUCGAGGGGCAUCGGGGAUGAGCAAUCAUCUGCCGGCGACCGGCGCACGGGUGAGUAACACGUAUGCAACCUGCCCGUCACAGGGGGAUAAUCGAGAGAAAUCUCGUCUAAUACCGCAUACACUCUUCGGGAGGCAUCUUCGGGAGAGGAAAGAUUAAUUGGUGACGGAUGGGCAUGCGGGACAUUAGCUAGUUGGCGGGGUAACGGCCCACCAAGGCGACGAUGUCUAGGGGUUCUGAGAGGAA